rnacentral:rRNA from 1 species
GACGAACGCUGGCGGCGUGCUUAACACAUGCAAGUCGAACGGAAAGGCCCUGCUUUUGUGGUGUGCUCGAGUGGCGAACGGGUGCGUAACACGUGAGUAACCUGCCCUUGACUUUGGGAUAACUUCAGGAAACUGGGCCUAAUAUCGGAUAGGAGCUCCUGCUGCAUGGUGGGGGUUGGAAAGUUUCGGCGGUUGGGGAUGGACUCGCGGCUUAUCAGCUUGUUGGUGGGGUAGUGGCUUACCAAGGCUUUGACGGGUAGCCGGCCUGAGAGGGUGACCGGGCACAAGGGGACUGAGGGACGGCCCAGACUCCUACAGGGGGCAGCAGGGGGGAAUAUGGCACAAUGAGCGGGAGCCUGAGACAACAGCGCCGCGGGCGUGAUGACGGCCUGCGGGUUGUAAACCGCUUUCGCCUGUGACGAAGCUUGAGUGACGGUAAUGGGUGAAGAAGCACCGGCUAACUACGUG